rnacentral:lncRNA from 1 species
UGAACAUAUACGUACGUAGCCAGAAGGUAACCGUCAUCAAAAAUUGUUCAAUUAAAAUCUGAAGAUCAGAAGGCAAACACCAGUUCUGGGGCGGUAUAAUGCUCACUGCUUUGUCUGCCUUCCUGCAGCAGCAGUAAAAGACGAACGUGAGAGGAGAAGCUAACGGAAACACACAGAAACGGUGGGGAUUGGAAAUAAGCCAUCAGCAGGUACUGGGACCUAAGACAGAGCUUCCCGUCAGAGGUGAGACCAGAGACAUGAAAGCUGCCCAGCAGGAGGCAGAGCCCUGAAGGACACACAGAAGGCAGAGGAGUCCGUGAAACAGGGCUGGGUACAGGAGUGAGUUACUGAGGGGGAGACUUCGCUCUUUCUCCAGCUUCCCUCCGUCAGCGCCUCCUCAGACGCAGCUCAGCAGGAAGGUGGCUGACACGGAACUUGUGAAGUAAGAGGUCAGUGUGGGCAAGGAGAGGAAAUUCAAGCUGCAGGUGAAAUGACAACACACACACACACACACACACACACACACAC